AAUUGAUUAGUCUAAUAAAGACAUUUGUUUUGAAAGCAAAAAAUGAAAAUUAAUCAAUCAUCAAUUU
rnacentral:tRNA from 1 species